GCGCAUAGAAGAAGAGUGGAAUAAAUCUAGAAGGAAACGGGUUAAGAAGGAAACGGGGCGGAGGAAGGAGUUUGGCGUGCUGGCCUGAGACCCUGAAGUAAACUUUACUGGGUGCUUCUGCAGCACAACGUGUGCAACAGAUGUCAGACACCCAGAACAUGGCCGUCUCACCGCAUGCCUGUACAUAUACGCCUGUACGCCUCAAAGGAGACUCUGACUCACUCAUGAGGUCACUGCCCAUUGCCACCGGUCCAGCGGUGUGGUCUGCUUGGCCCUGCGGUCAUGUACGGUACACGAAAGACCUGGGACGUCGGCCACACCCCCUGCCUGCAGGAGCUCUGGAACAAAGACCUCUCAUUGGAUGUUUCAGCGAGUUCCCUGGAUAUCCUAAUGAGUGAUGGUGAGGAGGAGAGCUCCUUCCUCUCGUUGCCCAACUCUGUCCUUCAGCGCCACUGUUUGACCUCUGACCUCUCUGAAACCGCCACCUCAGAACAGCAGCAGCUGCUCAUACAGGUGUGACCCUAUAAUACUACUCUAGUAUUAACCUGGGCAAUUAAUAUUACAAUUAUUAAGGGAAGCAUCACUGUUACAACUGCUUAUAACUGGGUUUAGGGAUUUACUGCAACACAUUAUUUUCAGAUUAUGUAUAGUAAAAUAUUUACAAGGUUUUUUUUUUUUAUACUUUUAUUUAGCAAGUAUGCAUUAAUAUGAUCAAAAGUGAAAGUAAAGACCUAUAUAAUGUUAAAAUAUUUUUUAUUCCAAAUAAAUGCCUUUUUUUUUCUUUUUUUACUUUCUAU
ensembl:lncRNA